rnacentral:rRNA from 1 species
GGCGCAAUCCUCGAUCCAGACAUGCCGCGUGAGGGAAGAAGGCCUUACGGGUUGUAAAGCUCUUUUAGCGUUUAAGAUAAUGAGGUACCGGGAGAAUAAGCCCCGGCUAACUCCGUGCCAGCAGCCGCGGUAAUA